rnacentral:tRNA from 1 species
AUUAAGAUGGCCGAAUUGAAGGUGGUAAACUGUAAAUUUGCUUAUGAAUAUGAAUUUCUCUUAAUA